rnacentral:rRNA from 1 species
UUAAGCGACUAAGCGUACACGGUGGAUGCCCUGGCAGUCAGAGGCGAUGAAGGACGUGCUAAUCUGCGAUAAGCGUCGGUAAGGUGAUAUGAACCGUUAUAACCGGCGAUUUCCGAAUGGGGAAACCCAGUGUGUUUCGACACACUAUCAUUAACUGAAUCCAUAGGUUAAUGAGGCGAACCGGGGGAACUGAAACAUCUAAGUACCCCGAGGAAAAGAAAUCAACCGAGAUUCCCCCAGUAGCGGCGAGCGAACGGGGAGCAGCCCAGAGCCUGAAUCAGUGUGUGUGUUAGUGGAAGCGUCUGGAAAGGCGCGCGAUACAGGGUGACAGCCCCGUACACAAAAAUGCACAUGCUGUGAGCUCGAUGAGUAGGGCGGGACACGUGGUAUCCUGUCUGAAUAUGGGGGGACCAUCCUCCAAGGCUAAAUACUCCUGACUGACCGAUAGUGAACCAGUACCGUGAGGGAAAGGCGAAAAGAACCCCGGCGAGGGGAGUGAAAAAGAACCUGAAACCGUGUACGUACAAGCAGUGGGAGCACGCUUAGGCGUGUGACUGCGUACCUUUUGUAUAAUGGGUCAGCGACUUAUAUUCUGUAGCAAGGUUAACCGAAUAGGGGAGCCGAAGGGAAACCGAGUCUUAACUGGGCGUUAAGUUGCAGGGUAUAGACCCGAAACCCGGUGAUCUAGCCAUGGGCAGGUUGAAGGUUGGGUAACACUAACUGGAGGACCGAACCGACUAAUGUUGAAAAAUUAGCGGAUGACUUGUGGCUGGGGGUGAAAGGCCAAUCAAACCGGGAGAUAGCUGGUUCUCCCCGAAAGCUAUUUAGGUAGCGCCUCGUGAACUCAUCUCCGGGGGUAGAGCACUGUUUCGGCAAGGGGGUCAUCCCGACUUACCAACCCGAUGCAAACUGCGAAUACCGGAGAAUGUUAUCACGGGAGACACACGGCGGGUGCUAACGUCCGUCGUGAAGAGGGAAACAACCCAGACCGCCAGCUAAGGUCCCAAAGUCAUGGUUAAGUGGGAAACGAUGUGGGAAGGCCCAGACAGCCAGGAUGUUGGCUUAGAAGCAGCCAUCAUUUAAAGAAAGCGUAAUAGCUCACUGGUCGAGUCGGCCUGCGCGGAAGAUGUAACGGGGCUAAACCAUGCACCGAAGCUGCGGCAGCGACGCUGAUGCGUUGUUGGGUAGGGGAGCGUUCUGUAAGCCUGCGAAGGUGUACUGUGAGGUAUGCUGGAGGUAUCAGAAGUGCGAAUGCUGACAUAAGUAACGAUAAAGCGGGUGAAAAGCCCGCUCGCCGGAAGACCAAGGGUUCCUGUCCAACGUUAAUCGGGGCAGGGUGAGUCGACCCCUAAGGCGAGGCCGAAAGGCGUAGUCGAUGGGAAACAGGUUAAUAUUCCUGUACUUGGUGUUACUGCGAAGGGGGGACGGAGAAGGCUAUGUUGGCCGGGCGACGGUUGUCCCGGUUUAAGCGUGUAGGCUGGUUUUCCAGGCAAAUCCGGAAAAUCAAGGCUGAGGCGUGAUGACGAGGCACUACGGUGCUGAAGCAACAAAUGCCCUGCUUCCAGGAAAAGCCUCUAAGCAUCAGGUAACAUCAAAUCGUACCCCAAACCGACACAGGUGGUCAGGUAGAGAAUACCAAGGCGCUUGAGAGAACUCGGGUGAAGGAACUAGGCAAAAUGGUGCCGUAACUUCGGGAGAAGGCACGCUGAUAUGUAGGUGAAGUCCCUUGCGGAUGGAGCUGAAAUCAGUCGAAGAUACCAGCUGGCUGCAACUGUUUAUUAAAAACACAGCACUGUGCAAACACGAAAGUGGACGUAUACGGUGUGACGCCUGCCCGGUGCCGGAAGGUUAAUUGAUGGGGUCAGCGCAAGCGAAGCUCUUGAUCGAAGCCCCGGUAAACGGCGGCCGUAACUAUAACGGUCCUAAGGUAGCGAAAUUCCUUGUCGGGUAAGUUCCGACCUGCACGAAUGGCGUAAUGAUGGCCAGGCUGUCUCCACCCGAGACUCAGUGAAAUUGAACUCGCUGUGAAGAUGCAGUGUACCCGCGGCAAGACGGAAAGACCCCGUGAACCUUUACUAUAGCUUGACACUGAACAUUGAGCCUUGAUGUGUAGGAUAGGUGGGAGGCUUGGAAGUGUGGACGCCAGUCUGCAUGGAGCCGACCUUGAAAUACCACCCUUUAAUGUUUGAUGUUCUAACGUUGACCCGUAAUCCGGGUUGCGGACAGUGUCUGGUGGGUAGUUUGACUGGGGCGGUCUCCUCCUAAAGAGUAACGGAGGAGCACGAAGGUUGGCUAAUCCUGGUCGGACAUCAGGAGGUUAGUGCAAUGGCAUAAGCCAGCUUGACUGCGAGCGUGACGGCGCGAGCAGGUGCGAAAGCAGGUCAUAGUGAUCCGGUGGUUCUGAAUGGAAGGGCCAUCGCUCAACGGAUAAAAGGUACUCCGGGGAUAACAGGCUGAUACCGCCCAAGAGUUCAUAUCGACGGCGGUGUUUGGCACCUCGAUGUCGGCUCAUCACAUCCUGGGGCUGAAGUAGGUCCCAAGGGUAUGGCUGUUCGCCAUUUAAAGUGGUACGCGAGCUGGGUUUAGAACGUCGUGAGACAGUUCGGUCCCUAUCUGCCGUGGGCGCUGGAGAACUGAGGGGGGCUGCUCCUAGUACGAGAGGACCGGAGUGGACGCAUCACUGGUGUUCGGGUUGUCAUGCCAAUGGCACUGCCCGGUAGCUAAAUGCGGAAGAGAUAAGUGCUGAAAGCAUCUAAGCACGAAACUUGCCCCGAGAUGAGUUCUCCCUGACCCUUUAAGGGUCCUGAAGGAACGUUGAAGACGACGACGUUGAUAGGCCGGGUGUGUAAGCGCAGCGAUGCGUUGAGCUAACCGGUACUAAUGAACCGUGAGGCUUAACCUU